rnacentral:rRNA from 1 species
UACGUAGGGUGCAAGCGUUGUCCGGAAUUAUUGGGCGUAAAGAGCUCGUAGGCGGUCUGUCGCGUCGGUCGUGAAAACUUGGGGCUUAACCCUGAGCUUGCGGUCGAUACGGGCAUGACUGGAGUUCGGCAGGGGAGACUGGAAUUCCUGGUGUAGCGGUGAAAUGCGCAGAUAUCAGGAGGAACACCCGUGGCGAAGGCGGCCAGCUGGGCCGUCCCUGACGCUGAGGCGCGAAGGCGUGGGGAGCGAACGGG